AGUCACUUUAAAUCCUAUUAGACCCCUUUGUUGUCUUAGUCAACUGGAAAAAUAUGCCAUUGUUCCUUGAGGAAGUUCUUGAGAUCCCCUUUGAAAGGGUAAAAUGGACUUAAUCUAUUUCUCAUAUGAUAAAUCCAUUUUAAGCUUCUCGGUCUGUCUGCACCAAAGAUGUCAAAAUUUAAUGCUUUGGAAUCAGUGUAAGUGAUAGAUCUUUUAAUAUAUUUUUUAGCUUAACACUCUAAAAUACUAUCUGACAGUUGAAAAACAGAUGUUUGCAGUAGAACAGAUCUGUCUACAUGUAGGUGGGCAUAUAUGAAAUACCCAGGGAAAAAGUAUCUGCUACAAGUGUCAUGAACUGUUGGGAGAGAUAGCUAUUAACACAUCCAGGAUCCCAUUCCUGGGGAAAAGAUAUUUUCUCCUGAAAACGCCUGCAGGGUAAAGUUUAUUCCCCUUCUGUCAGCCUGAGCAGCAAAGUAAGGAUGCUGUAAUAAAUGAUGGCAGGGGCUGAAAAAGAUGUAAGAGGAUGGAAAAGAAAUCAUUAAUCCACUGCAUCAACUCUGCUGUGCCUGGUAACAGCCAGCAGGUAGUGGGCUGCCAGCACAUCUCUUUUAUCCACAGGUUCAUCUCCUGGGUACUGCUUCUUUUCCUUGGCUUUGGUGGAGGGUUUUUUGUAUGUUUUUUGUUUGUUUCUCCAACUGCUUUUCACCUUGAACCUUGAAGACCGACAUGUAUGGCAGCACACAUCUUUGGCUGUGAUCUCAGCAUCUUCAUAUCCUGCAUGAGUAUUUCCUGACAGUCUGUCCCUGCUCCUUUCCUACAUGCUCUGCUGCAGCUCCGUAGGCAGCUCAUGGACAACAGCCUAACGGUUACCACACUGUUACACCAAAAGUAGCCAGCAGCUCUUUUCAGUUUAUUAUUCAUGCUGUUACGUACGACCUGGAAAUGUGUAUCGUUGCAUAACCAGAUGUGAGUUCCUUUCGUCCCUACAAAGCAACUCCUUUUUUCCCCUUCCCCUCCUUUGCUGGCUAUCCACAGAGAUGAAAAGCCUGCAACGUGAGUUCAUGCUGCUAACAAGAUGAGUAUUGUCAGGAAGACACAAACUGUGGUUUUCCCCUUUCUGCAUCCUGAAAGUGGAGAAAAAGGACCUUUGAUAUAUGCAAAGCUCUGUUAUUCUUUUUUCUUCUUUGAGCUAAUAAAAGGUAUCAUUAUAUUAUCACAUUUGUGUCCCUUCCAUGUUUGUUCUGGCCCUUAUUCUGCUCUGCAACAACAAGAACAUAAAAACAUCCCAUGAGAAACCGUAGGUUAAGUUUAUUUGACUUUAUUUUUUUUAACCUAUGUUGUAAUCAGAAUUGUUUUGCUAACUUAGUGCACCGAGGUAGUUUUUGGUAAAGGCAAAGAUUUGCUUGUGGCCAGGGAGCAAAUACGUAUGACUGGUUUAUGCCUUGCCACCCUGAAUUGUAAUGCUUUGUUUAUUAUGACUUUGGGCAUGUUUUAUUGGUGAGCGGAGAGGUCACAGCCUCACAUAUAGAACCUGUAUUUGUGCUUUACGGGUUCUGGGAUUUGAAACCACAGGCAGUCACUGAACUUUUGGCUGCCUUAGGUAACGGCGUGCUGUGACCAAGUGGCUGGACAAGGUCUCUGCUCUGCUCUACGUGAUGGGAUAGAAGUGUGACACCAGUCUGGGACCCAAGGCUUCUGAAAGAAGAAGAAAAAAAGGGAGAAGACAGAGCUGAAGGUGAUCCAAAGGACAGGGUUGCCCUGCUGGCCCUAUAAGAGCAGUUGGGUGGCUGCGUAACGCUGCCAGCAUGUAUAUAUUAUCCAUCUCUCCCCACCCCGGCCUAACCCAGAUGCUGCAUGACUGAUUGUACCCCAGAGAAGCUCCAGCCUCUUCAGAAUCAGAGUAUCGGAAGUGAGGCUGAGAAGAAAGCAUUUCACCCACCAAAGGAUAUACAGCCUGGAGAUCUGUCUGGAGGUACGAGUUACAGAGGGCAGAAAUUGAGCCCAAUGUUAUAUAUUUGCAUCUUCCUUUUUUGUCCUACUUUGCUGGUGAGUGGGUGCUGUGGAAAAGGUAAUUAAGAAGAGGCUAAUCAAGAGGCCUAAGAUGAUGUGUGUGAUGUGCGCUUCUGUGUAAAUAAAAGAGAUUAAGUAUAGAAAGCCAUCUCAGAAGGAGGAUCUGGAGCAAGUGAAAAAGACGCACUGCAAAUGUUCAUGGUCCAGGCUCUAGCUUGAAAGGGGGGUAGGUUCAUGAGACUGAAGUGCCAGAAACCAGUCUAACACCAGUCAAGGUGCUGGACAGCCAACUUGUGUGGCUGUGGGCAUGGCGGAACUGCUGACCUGCUGGUGAUUGCUCUCCCUAACAGCUGGAAAACUGGGAGAGGAGUCCCUGGUGGGACACAGCACUGAAGCCUUGAAGUGUGGAGCACAAGUCCAUGGCCACUGUACUCAUGAAACGCAGCAGUGAAUUAGAUGGGUCUGCCACGUAAUUGGGCUGUGAAAUGCAUUGUGUGUAGCUUAGAGUGGGCUGGGUACUGAUAGCAGGCUGUGCAAAACCAGGAGGUUGCAGAUGGGGAGGAAAUAUCUGCUUACAUGUAAUCUGAGGAAAUGGGACAGCCUUCAGCCCUGGGGGCAUGCAGCAGGGAAUCCACCUUCUAAGAGCAUGAAACCCCAGUUUUCAAGCUAAGCACUUAUCUCCAAACUUUCCUGUGCACAAUCUGAUGUGCAGAACAAGGCUUGCUGAAUUGCUAAGGCAAGGCAAUCAGAGAGUGAUCUAAAUGUAGUGCUAAAUGCUUGUGCUUUAUAUUCCGUUUAUCUGUAGCCCUCUGCUUAAAGUCAGCUUCGAGUUUAACUUGCCAAACAACCCUUUCCUACUUAUGAGACUUUCUGUUUUGAAGGGUGGAGGAGGAGCGAAGCUGGAGGAGACUGACAAAAAGGUUGAACAAUUUCUGGGAAGACAGUGGAUGUCUUCAUAGAGAUAGCUGUGUCUUGUGGAGCAUCUAACCAAGGAUGUCUUCAGGGAAAGCAGGGGAUGAAGAACAUUGGCAGCCAGACUGGAAUGGGUUGGUGUAGGGGCUAGCAAGGCCCAGUGCCAAGUGUGGGAAGCUGUGCCUCCUGGCAGGCAUACAGCAGGAGUGAGGAAGGCAGAUAGUGGAGGAGUGCACCGGGAGGACCACAGCUCCGCGUUGAUGUGCAGUGAGUGGUCUGCGGGUGAGACUUCUGCCAAGAGCAGCAGGGAGGGCACUGCUGUGCUAGGGCUGCAGAGCGCUUGCUUACAGCUUAAUCAUGAAAAAGAAACAAAUUCCAGAAGAAAGCAUUUUUACUUCGAUAACGUUAAGUAAAAGAGCAGCUCCUCUGCUUGCUCUGUUGUAUUCCUCUCUUGUUCUAUGUUAGAUGUGGAGAUGCAAAUGAAAGAGAGCCCUGAUCACAGAAAAAUUUGGAAAUUCUGGGUAGCAUGAUUUCCAGAGGUGGUACAAGUGCUUGAGUUGAGAUCCAUGUGUUCAAACACACCAGUCCUGGUUCAUUCAGUUCUCCCAGCUCUGAGGAAGAAGUUGUUUUCUCAUCUCCUGACACACCAAAACUGAUCUCUUAAGAAGUACUGAGAAUGUUACCAUUCUGAGAGAAACAGUAAAGCAUGUGCUUCACUUUACUCACACUGAACACUGUACUACAUACCUAACAUUAAGCACUAACUAACCAAUACCAAACAAGGAGCAUGGCUUGGGAUAAAAUUAAAUAACUGGCUUUGAAGCAUUGGUGAAUCUUCAUAUAUUUAUUACAACUUGGCCCUCAGAUGGCAACUCCAAGCAUCUCCCACAGCAGAAGGGGCUUAUCACUUUCAAAUGAAGUUCUGGCUCAAAUAUGGUAUAUAGUUUAUCUUUCAGAGCAUCGUGUGUGCUUGAAGCAGCCUUCUGGACACCUGGAGCUGUGGAUACUCAGUGCAGAUAUGUCUCAGUUAUGUAUCACUAGCUUAUUUUGUGACAUGGCUUCAGGAAAAAGCAGGGAAAUGGUAUUGAAAUGUAUAUUUUUUUAAAAAACAAAUUUUAGUUUUAAGGAAAGCUUGAUAAAUUAUGAGUUGAAUCUCCUUCAGCCAUUAUUUACUAGACAUUUUUAGAGAUUAUCUAUUUAUUUAUUGCCCUCUGAGACCACUAGAGAGGAAGGAAAAUGCAGUUAGUCCAUCACUUCCCUGGAUAAAGAGAGAUGCAAACUCUUAAUAAAGUAUCGAUGGCACCCCAAGGGGACAGAGGGAGAUUUGCAUCCCAGUGGCCCAGCUGACAGCCCACAUAAGUUACUGCAGCAGCAGCGAGGUCCUGUCAGAGACAGGAGCAAGAUGAGAGAAGAGGGAGCAAAACAUGAUUUGUACUGGCAUGCAGCGAACAAGCUAAGCUGUGUAAAAAUGAAUACACGAAAUUAAAAGGAUUAAUGGGACAAGUUAGUGCAGGGUAACAGGGAAAGUCCCCUGUCUAGGUAUUUCUGCCAGGUUCCACCCAGGCAGGUUAUUUUUUUUUUUUUUAAACCUUCUUUCUUUUGUUAGUGAAAUUUCAUCUGCAGAGCACCUCAUGAGCAACGUUCAAUUCCUCCCCCUCAGCUCUGCCUGGAUGAGUCCUUUGAGCUUUAAAAAUUUGCUUUUAUUUAAAAAGUCACAUCUGUUUUCACGAAAGCCUGAGAUGUUGGCGUGGUCCAAGGAAAGCUAAUGACAUGCUGGCCAUCCAAAAUCAUCUAGCAAGUUCAUUUGCAUUGACUGCUCCUCUUAACCUUGUGCUGUAAAUCACUGGUAAAUAGCUGUGCCAUGCACCCUGGGCUGGCUGCUGUUCAGAACUGAGAAGAAUCGUUUCUGCUUAUGCCGCGAAAGCCUUUGGAAUCACUUGUGAUAACCAUGUAGAGAUGUAAGGUUUUACCAUUUAAAUCACAAAGCAAUAGUGUUUUGCUCCAGAGCAGUCUGUUUUAAGCAUCUCACUUCUCACUCUGAAGUUAAACAACUUCAGUUGUUUAACUGAUGUUAAGCCUCUCACUUCUGAAGUUAAACAAUGCUAUGUGUAUGUAACCAGCAUUUGCUCCAUUAGGUGGUGGGGGGUUUUGCUUUUGUUUUUCAGUUUUUGGGGUUUUUUUUACUACUGUACCUGGUUUUCAGCUCACAAAAGGCAAUCACGAGAUGACAGUCAUUUUAUGCAACAGAAGGCUGACUAAUUGAGGAACAGGGAUGAUAUUUGGGAAUGAAAAACAAAGCUGUGACAUGUAAAAUUGCAUAUAAAGUGUUUGAUUCUUUUUUUUUUUUUCUACAUAAAAUUCUCACCAAGUGAACUCCAGAUGUCAGCAUUUAAACACUGUCAGGUAUUACUUGUAUUACUGUGGCAUCUACACAGGUGUUGCUCACACCUAACCUGAGGGGCGUGGUGUGCACUGAGAUGCUUAUGAUUUAGGUAGACAAGUCAGAAAAACUGAAGAUCAGGAAAUGUUAGCACUAUCUUACUUGUUUCUUUCUCCCUUGGAAAGUAAUUGUGACUGGUUGCAGAUAACAAGAUAACAUAGAUUAAUCAGAAUUUAUGAUGAUGUGGAGAUUGGUGCCAUGGUUCCUCUGGUCAUGUUCAGUCCAGAAUUAGUUAUUUCUGUGUGCAGCUGUAAUAGUUUGGGUUACUUCACUGUGAAGGGUGAGGUGGCUUCUCUGCUCAUUUGGGAAAGAGGCAACUUGAAAGUAUUGCUGCUAGCCUGGCUUUGACAAGCGUGUUUGACCUUUUCAUGGAGGUUCUUUUGCAUCUGCUUUCCCUCGUUUAUCAUUUUUCUUGCUCUAGAAGAAAACUUGUGUCAGUUUUGGAGGUCUUACUAUUUCUUGUAUCUUCAGAACAAAGCAGUUAGUAUCUACUAAUGGAGAUUUAUUCAUUGCCUCUAACAGCUUGAGGAUUUCUAAGUCAUUCCCUGUAUUAUCAUAGAAUCAUAGAAUGGUUUGGGUUGGAAGGGACCUUUAAGAUUAUCUAGUUCCACAACCCCUGCUAUAGGCAGGGAUGCCUCCCUCUAGACCAGGUUGCUCAAAGUCCCAUCCAGCCUGGCCUUCCCAGGUAUUCCUGGAAUCCUGUUCCAGGAUGCUCUAUCAUAAAACCUUGAAUGGAUCCAUUCUAGUUUUUCUCUACAAGCCUUUCUCCAUGCCUGGUGGGAGCACCCAGUAGCAAGUCCUUACACAUCAUUGUUGGAAAACAGGAGCCAGCACUAAUCCUUCCCCUUUGUCAGAAGAGAAUGCUUUGUCUGAAUGUAAAAAUACACUUAUAUGUCUAGUGAGUAAGCAAACAUAGUGAAUAUUAACACAAGAGCCUUUCUGCUGAGGAGAAUUAAGCCUAAGUGGGGCUUGGCCAAAAGGGUAAUGAGAGUCAGAGCUGGAAGAAAAAGAGUUAUACUUCAAAAAUAAUGUUUUGCUUAGAUUGUUGAAUUGUGGUCAAGGGAAUGAAAAAGGGGACAGGGCUGUUGCUGGGAGUUUUGCUGCAAAAGGACACGUGUGUGUAGGAACAUCUGGUACGUUUGGUCCUAACACUCCAGGUCUUUUACCAAUUCCUGCCCAGGACUGCUGAAGUAAACCAGGUCUAAGUGGUUUGUGCAGAACAGCCAAAACCACAUCUUACUCUCCAAAACCGUGUCUUGAACAUGAAGGCUUUGUUCUCUAGGGCCAGAGCUCCUCUUUCCCCACUGGUAGUCCAUGAAAGUGUUUACAGAGGCCUGCAGCCCAAAGGAAUUGAAUUUGCGAUCUUGAAAGCUUCGGCCUUCACAAAAUAAACCUUCAAAGGAGAUUCAGAACUAUCAGCAACAAAAUACUUUCUAUUCUCAUCCAUGGCAGCCCCCUGCAUUCCUGUCUCGUGUUUAUUUAACAAUUUAAAAAAUAAAUCCAUUGCUUUGAGCUCAGGGAAUUAAUUUUUUUAAGGUCUGUGGGGUCUUUUUUCCAUGCACACUUCCCAUAAUAUUCUAUAUUUUCUUUUUCCUUUUGUUACUUUACUUCAACCAUCCUUUGCUCUCAUUGAUGAUUACAGCUCUUGCUACCUCCUUCUGUUGGUUAUAGGAUAGGUGAGGUGAGGAAAUGCUGAUGACAAAAGGUCCUGUACUCCUCCUCUUUCUUUUCCUGAGGGGUCCAAGUUGGUUCCUCCUUUCUACAUGGGAGGUUUGGCUUAAAAUAGAUCUAAAAAUGCUAUAUUUUCAAAUAUCUGCACUUAGCACUGUUCUGCCAUGUCUGUUCCUUGUGCUGUUAGCACUGAAAUUAAUGUCAGUCUCACAAAGAGUGUAGUCAGGAGGCUGUUUAAGUUACACUAAAAAAAAAAUAAAUAAAUGAAACCCAAAUCCCUAGGAUCUACUUAAUUGCCCCAAAAACUGGACAAACACCAGAGCUAAUUUGAACUAUUUGCUCCAAAUUACUGUUGUGAGUUUAGCUCCUUGCUUGGUUACUGCGUAGUUCAGAAGUCAAACCAAAUACAUGAAGCAGACCUACAAUUUCAGAAAAAAAAAAAAUUAGGAGGAUUUUUCACUGCAUCCAAGUAGCUGGAUUUGGUUGUUAUUGCCUGAUGAGACUGAUUGCCAGUAUCGCAUUAUGUGUUU